rnacentral:rRNA from 1 species
UACGGGGGGGGCAAGCGUUGUUCGGAAUUACUGGGCGUAAAGGGCUCGUAGGCGGCCAACUAAGUCGGACGUGAAAUCCCUCGGCUCAACCGGGGAACUGCGUCCGAUACUGGAUGGCUUGAGUUCGGGAGAGGAUGGUGGAAUUCCCAGUGUAGAGGUGAAAUUCGUAGAUAUUGGGAAGAACACCGAUGGCGAAGGCAGCCAUCUGAACCGACACUGACGCUGAGGCGCGAAAGCGUGGGGAGCAAACAGG